AUGGCGGCGAAAGAAUCCGAAGGGUUGACCGACGGCGGCACGGCGCCGCCCACGUCCGCGUCUCUCCCGGCGGCCCAGGAGGCCAGCAUCGCGGGGCAGUACAGCGCGAUGGAUAUCAGAGGUGGCAAGACGGGGGAGGAGGCCGAGGUCUCACGCUUGACCUCGCGGUUCGCGUCGCUGCGCGAUCGGGAAGAGCGGCUGGCCGAGAUCGCCGGCGGCCUGCGCCUGAUCAAAGAGAAGCGCGGGUCGAGGCCUCCCACCUACAUCGAGCUGGCCGCCGCCGUCCUCUUGCAAGACAGCGUUGCCGCCGCCCUCGAAGGCCGCCCCACCUCCUCGACGUGCAGUGGUUGCUGGAAUAGGCGGCUGUUUUCAUUAUUGUUAAUUAACAAACCGCUAGCAGUAUAUUAUCUAAUUUAA
rnacentral:rRNA from 1 species